AUGAAGAAACACCGAGAAAAAUAAAAAAAGCAAAAGGCUGUGAAGAAACAACAACCCUUACCACUGAAACGCGAGAGAUUCAUGUGCAAGAGAAACUAGGGAAAGAGAAGAAGAACAAAAAGAAGAAGAAGAAGAAGAAAAGCUUAUUGCCAGAAAAGAAAGGGUAUAGAGGAAGAAAACAAAGGUAUGCAGCAUAGUUGAAGCGAGCAUAUAUUAUCCCUGCAGGCGUUCGUUUUUCCAUACAGGCUACCGGCUUUGUUCAUGCCCUACCUGCCAGCUUCGUUCUUGCUGUUGCAUAUGAUCUCCGACUAAGCUGGGGUUUGACUAGCACGGCGCAUGGCCGAUGGCUUGCUCAUGGAAACGGCAUCCCGAUACAGUUUUUGAGACUUCCGAUGGUGGUCGACGGCAACGCCUACGGCCUACUUCUUCUCCCUCCACCUCUACCUCCAGCCUCCAACUGCGGAAAUGAGAAGGACAAAUCGAAGAGGUUGGAAAGAGAUGCUUAUAUAUGGCUCUGAUCUGACGUUGGUUGUGGGUGGAUGAUGGCAUCCGGAUCUAAUCACUAGCCAUAAACGAUAAAGGAUGAACCUUAGAGUCUCUGCACAAACGCAGCGAUCUGACAUUGGUGGUAAACGACUUGUGUUGUGAGAGGUGGAGACAGCUUCAUCAUCAUCAUCAUCCAGGCGGAUGGCGGAUUCCAAUCUCCUGAGGGCUUGAGCCUCCAUGCAGUACAAACGGUGGUGCAAUAUGAUGUUAAUAAUAAAUAAGCUUCCAAUUGAUCAAAACUCUGAAGACAGCAAGCCAAGACAUAGAAGCACGAGACAAGGCAAAUGGGAUGGAGGAAGUCCAACGUUAUGUAAUGAUUACGUGUCCUAUAGCCGGGGAGUAUUUGGUGGCUACUGAACAGAUCUAUUAGGAGCAAUUUGAUGAAUCAUUUGAGGAGCUGGGUUUGUGUCUCAAGGAUGGCUAUACAGGGUAAACUGGUCCGCUCCCGAUUGUCGAAAAUAUAUUGGAAAAGUAAGUUGAAGUGACGUGGAUAUUACAAUUGGAGAAAUUCAUGAGGGUAAGUAUGUUUAUAGCUUAGAAAAUCAUUGAAAGUAGCGUCAGUUGUAGUAUUGUGUUGUUUGCUUGAACAUUUGCUUGCAACCUAUGUAAUACUAAGUUUAAAAGGUUCUUCUCAAAUAAUUAUCAUCAUUUUCUUUGACAAAUUCUUUUAUAUAGGGCACUUAUAAAAAAAAAAAAAAGGUCUUUUAUGUGGGUCAAAGCCAAGAAGCUAACAUGUUCCUCCUUUGAUAACUCUGGCAAAGCUGUUCUGGUUGACUUUUAUGCAACUUGUUUGGUUCUUCCCUACUUAUGUUUAUUUUUUUCUCUUCCCUUCUUUUUUCAGAUUUUGCUAACAGCUAUGAUGUCUCUGACUAUUUUGUAAGCCUAUGUUAUCACCUUAAGCCAUAACGUGCGGGAUCAUCUUGCUGGAAAACUUUAUAAGCAUUUUAUCGUAAUUGUCUAGAUUUAUGUUUGUCUUGUCAGUAAUCUUUCAUUCGUGAAGCGAAUUCGUAUUGUUCACCUUAGACCCUAUUGAGAGGGGUGUGGCGUUUAGUUUAGGAAUAAUUCCAUGUUCUUGGUAAUCUCUAGAAUAGCAAAAUUGAGUAGGAUCAUAUUUAAAUUUAAUCGGAAGAAUGAGUAACCCUAGGUAUGGUUUGCAUGUGGUCUUUGUCAAUUCAUGGAUCCCAUCCUCAACGAAGUCAAUACUUAGCUGGAGUAUAAGAUAUAGAUGGUGAAAAUUGAUGAUAAAUACAAAAUAGAAGCGAUGCCUACAUUCAUCGUAUUUAAGGACAGAAAACCUUAUGAUUGAAUUUGCAUCUCUCUUGCUCUUGUGUGGAAUCCAACUGUAUCCCUCUAGAUGUUUUUUCUUACGAAAGUAAUCAAUAAGCCCAUUCUUAGACUUGUAGAAGGACCUCUGCCCUCUCUGACUUGUCUUGGAUUGUACAAAUUUUUUGGUUUUGACCUGUCUCAUUUAUGUUGACUAACUGGAUCUCAUGAGAGAUUUUAAUUGUGUAAAUUGCUUUUUUUUUUGUUAACAAUGAAGUCAGUUAAUCUCCCCUAAACUUUAAAUGUGAGAAAUCAACCCCCUAGACUAUGGGGUCUAUAGCAAUAUCUCUCUUCCUAAAGUUUCUUUAAUAUUCCCUAUACUUAAACUUAAAUUCACAUACUUAUCACAUUUCAUGGUAUCACAUGCUUAUUUUUCUUUUAUUUUCCUGUGCUCGCGAAGUAAGCAUGUGAAAGUUAAUCAUAUUUUUUAAAUUUAUACAGGGGACAUUGCAAAUGACCCUAUUGUUUAGGGUGGGAAAGUUCAAUUUACCUUAAUUUUAAUUUGGAAAUGCAUUUUUAAAGUUAUGGGUUGUGCUUUGCUCUUUUAGUGAUAUUUUGAUCACUAUAUAUAUAUAUAUAUAUAUAAACAUGUACAUGUUAAAUGAUAUUUAGAAUAUACUUUGUUCACAUCCGGUCCAAGAUAUUUCUUUUUAGCAGACGUAUAAAGAACCCAUAUUUAUUUCGACUGCAUGUUGUAAAUAUUUGUGUGGUGCAGAAAACCUAUGGAGGAGAAAAAAAAAUGUGCACUGACGCAAUCAAGUAAAUUCCCUUGAUUUCUUAUUAGGAAAAAAAAAAUCCUUUGCUUUCCAUUGGGGCAAAAGAGGGAUAAUGUGAUCUCUUGACAAAUGUCAAGUAUUAAAACCCGUACUAAAGGAGCCUUGGUGAUUUUGUAUUGUUUGGCUUAAAUUAGUUAUUUCUUCAAUCUUUUUUGUGUGCUUAAGUUACUUUGUUUAGUCUUAUCGAACUGUAAAAAAUUGGUCUAUCAAACUCUCAUGUGUUCUAAUUGUUUUGCAUCUCACAUCUUGUUUUUGGUUGACAUGGGAGCUUUCACUACCAUAUUGAACGGGCUGGAAGCCUAUUUUGUUUGGAGCAAGAACAAGCAUGUUUGGAGCAUAGAGGCAAAAAAGACGGUGCGACUAAAAGAAAUUUUAAUCUCAAAAGUCAUGUUCCACUAACACUCAAUAUUAAUUAAUUUGUUUGAAUUUUAUAGAUAGCAAAUAGACUAGUCGGGGUGACUAGCGUAUAUUGGUGCCAUAGUAAGUUAUCUCCACACUCAUUCAAUGAAAGCCGGGAUGUAUAUAAAGUGAAUAGUUUAUCAUUUGCCAAAAAUAUGCAAGUAAAAAUAACAAAAUUUUGAAACGAUGCCUUUAUAUACAUCCCAGCUUUCAUCGAAUGAGUGUGGAGAUAACUUACUAUGGCACCAAUAUCAACAAGAUUUCUGAUUUUAUUUUGAUACGACUUAUUAGCAAUUGAGGAGAUCUUUGUUUAUAUAAAAGUAGACGAUUAUGCAUGUUAAGAUUUUGUAUCUUUAUGUGUUGUAUUAUAUCUUGAUAUCAACUAAUUACUAGUAUAUUAAAAAAAAAAAAAAACUAACUAGUGAUAACCGUAAACCCACGUCACCCCACUUGUGAUAAUAGAGAGUCUUGAUAAGAUUGUAUAUGUAGAUAACUUCUAGUAUACUUUAUAUGUCAAAUGUACGUGGAUAGAUAGUUCUUCUGCUUGUAUUUUGAACUCUAGAUUAUUUAGAUCUUAUGUGAUUACUCACAAUACAAUACCUCUUGUAUAAAUAUAUUAUGGUACACUUCAAACUC